rnacentral:rRNA from 1 species
ACCUGACUGCUAUCGGAUUGAUACUAAGCCAUGCGAGUCAUUGUAGCAAUACAAGGCAUACGGCUCAGUAACGCGUAGUCAACCUAACCUAUGGACGGGAAUAACCUCGGGAAACUGAGAAUAAUGCCCGAUAGAACAUUAUACCUGGAAUGGUUUAUGUUCCAAAUGAUUUAUCGCCGUAGGAUGGGACUGCGGCCUAUCAGUUUGUUGGUGAGGUAAUGGCCCACCAAGACUAUUACAGGUACGGGCUCUGAGAGGAGUAGCCCGGAGAUGGGUACUGAGACACGGACCCAGGCCCUAUGGGGCGCAGCAGGCGAGAAAACUUUGCAAUGUGCGAAAGCACGACAAGGUUAAUCCGAGUGAUUUGUGCUAAACGAAUCUUUUGUUAGUCCUAGAAACACUAACGAAUAAGGGGUGGGCAAGUUCUGGUGUCAGCCGCCGCGGUAAAACCAGCACCUCAAGUGGUCAGGAUGAUUAUUGGGCCUAAAGCAUCCGUAGCCGGCUCUGUAAGUUUUCGGUUAAAUCUGUACGCUUAACGUACAGGCUGCCGGGAAUACUGCAGAGCUAGGGAGUGGGAGAAGUAGACGGUACUCGGGAGGAAGUGGUAAAAUGCUUUGAUCUCUCGAUGACCACCUGUGGCGAAGGCGGUCUACUAGAACACGUCCGACGGUGAGGGAUGAAAGCUGGGGGAGCAAACCGGAUUAGAUACCCGGGUAGUCCCAGCUGUAAACUAUGCAAACUCAGUGAUGCAUUGGCUUGUGGCCAAUGCAGUGCUGCAGGGAAGCCGUUAAGUUUGCCGCCUGGGAAGUACGUACGCAAGUAUGAAACUUAAAGGAAUUGGCGGGGGAGCACCACAAGGGGUGAAGCCUGCGGUUC